UUUCCCCUGCUGUGCUCGUGAUUGGCAGAUAGUCUUUUGAGCCAAUACCCUUUACAAGGGAGCCUCCUCUCCAUAGGGCGUGGAUGAGGGAACAUCUCGUCCCCAUGACUGUGGAUGAGCAUACCCACCUGAGAAAUCAGGUUCAAUUGACCUGCCGACACGGCAUAUGCGGGGGAUAU
rnacentral:other from 1 species